GAAAAGACCUGGCAGGGGAGAUACUGAUCACAAAGGUGGUUUUCUCAGGGUUAGGCUUAUCCACUGCACUCCAGAUGUGCUGACCCCUGUGAUUUCCCCUAAUGUGGGAAACUGGACUACAUAAUUUGUGGUAGUGGGGGGCAGCACUGGGGCUUUCCCCUG